AGGACGAACGCUGGCGGCGCGCCUAACACGUGCAAGUCGAGCGAGAACCGGGACUUCGGUCCCGGGGACAGCGGCGAACGGGUGAGUAACACGUGGAUAACCUGCCCUCGGCACCGGAAUAGCCCGGGGAAACCCGGAUUAAUGCCGGAUAGCUCCACAUCCCUGCGGGGAACGUGGAAAAAGGUAGCUUCGGCCUCUGGCCGAGGAUGGGUCCGCGGUGGAUUAGCUUGUUGGUGCGGGUAAUGGCCCACCAAGGCGACGAUCCAUAGCUGGUCUGAGAGGACGAUCAGCCACACUGGGACUGAGACACGGCCCAGACUCCUACGGGAGGCAGCAGUGGGGAAUCUUGCGCAAUGGGCGAAAGCCUGACGCAGCAACGCCGCGUGGGGGAUGAAUGCCUUCGGGUUGUAAACCCCUUUCAGCAGGGACGAAUCUGACGGUACCUGCAGAAGAACGCCCGGCCAACUACGUGCCAGCAGCCGC
rnacentral:rRNA from 1 species